rnacentral:misc_RNA from 1 species
GAUGAAGAACGUAGCGAAAUGCGAUAAGUAAUGUGAAUUGCAGAAUUCAGUGAAUCAUCGAAUCUUUGAACGCACAUUGCGCCCCUUGGUAUUCCGAGGGGCAUGCCUGUUCGAGCGUCAUUACACCACUCAAGCUAUGCUUGGUAUUGGGCGUCGUCCUUAGUUGGGCGCGCCUUAAAGACCUCGGCGAGGCCACUCCGGCUUUAGGCGUAGUAGAAUUUAUACGAACGUCUGUCAAAGGAGAGGAACUCUGCCGACUGAAACCUUUAUUUUUCUAGGUUGACCUCGGAUCAGGUAGGGAUACCCGCUGAACUUAAGCAUAUCAAUAAGCGGAGGA